UACGUAGGUGGCGAGCGUUGUCCGGAUUUACUGGGCGUAAAGGGAGCGUAGGCGGACUUUUAAGUGAGGUGUGAAAUACCCGGGCUCAACUUGGGUGCUGCAUUUCAAACUGGAAGUCUAGAGUGCAGGAGAGGAGAGUGGAAUUCCUAGUGUAGCGGUGAAAUGCGUAGAUAUUAGGAGGAACACCAGUAGCGAAGGCGGCUCUCUGGACUGUAACUGACGCUGAGGCACGAAAGCGUGGAGAGCAAACAGGAUUAGAUACCCU
rnacentral:rRNA from 1 species